CAAACAAUUGGAAUGAAAGAAAUGGUAGUGCCCCUGCCGCGCCGCCGCCCGCCUGGCUGUGCCCCUGCCGUGCCGCCGCCAUUCUGGUGCGCCACUGCUGCUCGGCCGUCUGUCAUCCGCGUCCGCGUCCGUGGCCCGGCUACCCGUCGCCGCUGCCGUCAACCACCGACUAGCGACCGCGCCGUGUUGCCCAGCCGCCUGCCGUGCCGCCGCCUCCCGAGCUUUGAGAUCUUGUGACGAAUUUCGAUGUGGUCUCCCAAUCCAACAUUCCUACUGAAAUUCGGAGCGAUUUGAUCUGGUUUCCCACUCCAUUUGAGGUAGGCACUCCUCCGCUCAGAUUUUUCGAUUCACCUGUAGGCCGAAGAUGCAAAGGGCGCGACUUUGAUAGGUGGCGGAGAGUCUUGGUUAAUCGGCGUUUCAAUGCGACGGUCCGUCGUCGGGGAAGUCUCCAGCGACGGCGACGCUGACCACGCGCACGGAGCUGCCUCCGCCGCGACGACCCCCCGAGUAGCGGCUCCGCUAGGGCUCCGCUGCCAAUCGGAGAUUCGUCGCCAUGGCGGUGGCGGAGAUCUCGGCGGUGCUCUACCUCCUCCUCGCCGCCACCGGGGAGCGGGACCCACCAGCGCGCGGCCUCUGCUCCCUCGCGGCACGCUCGAGGUUCGAGGACCUCGCAGGGGCCCUCACCACCGGACCGCCAGCAAACCCCGCCGCCGCCCGCGCCGUUGUGUGUCCACCGUCCUUGCUGUCCCAGAUUUGAUUCUUCUCAAACGUAAUUCUCUCAAAAGAAAUCCCAAGCAAGAGUUUGCGGUGCUGUUAGGGGUGGUAGCGGCUAAGAAGUAUCCUUUCUUAGAUUAUCUGGCCGUCUUUAAUUAUUCCAUUUCAUAACUAUUUUUCCAUCCAAGUCUUGUACGCCUGUUUUGCAUCUGCACGUACUAUGGUAUACCUGGACAUAUUUUACCAUAAUUCAAUUUUAAUGCAUUUCUCAGAAACUUAAUUUUUAAGUUGUUCUUUUGGUGCUUCCUUCUCUACAAUAGUUAGAUAUGUCAGAAUUAUAUAUUAAUAGUAACACAUAUUUUGGUACAAAGCAUUUAUAAGUUUUGCUCAACAAUUUCUCAAUACCUGACAGGAAGCUGAAUUUGAUCUCGCGACAACCAUCGAAGGAGCUGGGUACUAUCGCGACAUGUACCAUUUCUCUAUCAAAAUCAGCAUGAGCAGUGCUUAUGUGCUCCUCUAAAAGAAAACUACAUGCAGCAAUUUUACAGAAAAUUGCUUACAUACUAUAUCUUAGAUAUAUUACAAUCAACAUUU